UGGCCUAUUGUUUUGAUAGAAAAUGGUUUUUGAACUAAAUUUUAAAAAAAUUCCACCUCUUGUGUGUGUGAUUGUGGUUGUUCUUGUGCAAAUUUGAGUGUCAGUUGCGGUCAAUACCGAUGACUUGAAUAGUGCUCUUAAUUGAACUUUUAGCAUCUCAUUGUGACUAGCCGUUUGUCGAAUGAAUCUCUUCCGAUGAACA
rnacentral:lncRNA from 1 species